rnacentral:rRNA from 1 species
AUGGCGUCGGGCACCAGGGAGGAAUCUCCCAGUCCCAGCUCGCCCGUUGCGGUCCAAACCAACUCUCCACGCGAGACGGAUGCCCGGCUGCUAGCGCUGGUCUGCUCAGGCACUUUCCAGGAUCUAGAAUCAUUCCUCGACGGACAAGACCACCAAGCAUCUUCCGUCGUCGGAGGGUCGGCGACACGGCGACCUUCCGGUGACGACGAGGAAGCAUUUCUCAGAGAGUCGGUCCUGGACGGGGUCACCGUCGGAGGCGACACUGUUCUCCAUGUAGUCGCCACCAAUGGUGACUCUCAAGACUUCUUGAAGAAAGCCGGCCUCGUCCACAGGAAGGCACAGAACCUCCUCUGUGCGCAGAACAAUGACGGAGAUACACCCCUGCAUUGUGCGGCACGGGAGGGGAACUUCGCCAUGGUGUCUCUUCUCAUUGAUCUUGCUAGAGGCAGCGAGGAUGCCAGUCCCAACAGAGUGAAGGCGCUGCUGAGAACAGAAAACAAGAUCAAAUGCACAGCCUUGCAUGAGGCUAUCAAGUCUCUCCCUGUUGGGCACGAUGAUAUGGUCGAGUUGCUCAUGAAGAAGGACCCGCAGUUGGCCAGUUUCCCGAAAGAUGGCACGUCGCCAUUGUACCUGGCCAUCUUGGAGGGGAAGAGUUUCAUCGCGGAAACACUCUAUGAGUUGAGUGGCGGGGUGCUCUCAUACUCCGGACCAAAUGGACAAAAUGUACUGCAUGCUGCUGUUCUCCGAGGCGAAGAUCCUAAAAAGAUGUUGGAAUGGACGAACAACGUCCUUGCAUCGCAACGGGAUAACAACGGACAUACACCGCUUCACUUUGCCGCCACAGCUGUUCUAGGGAAUCAGAAUAUACUUUCACAAGUACUGAAAGCCAAUGCAGAGGCAUUGUAUCAGCCAGACCACAAUGGAUCAUUCCCCAUACACAUGGCUGCAUCCGUCGGUGCAACAAGUGUAGUCAGUGAAUUUAUUGAAAAUACGCCCAAUUGUGCUGGUUUACGUGAUGCUAGGAAAAUGACAUUUCUUCAUGUUGCAGUUGAUAAAAAGAAAAUAUCGACAGUUAGUUAUGCUUGCAAGAACGGAACAUUAUCAUGGAUUUUUAAUAUGCAAGACAAGAAUGGGAACACUGCAGUACACCUAGCUGCCCAGGCUGGCAGUGUUAAAAUAUUUUGUUGUUUGUUCAGGAAUAGACAAGUACAAUUGAAUUUGACAAAUAAGAAAGGGGAGACUCCACUAGAUAUAGCGUAUCAAAAUAUUCCUAAAGGGCUGCAUGCUUACAUGCACAGUGAAGCAAGAAUACUCUCCUUACUUCAAUAUGCUGGUGCCAAAAAGGGUAUCCGUCACCAGGAUUACCUUGAGAAAAACAAUAUUGUCCAAAAAAAGCAGGGUGAAAUAGAUGAAAUGGAGAAAGUGAAGGACGCGACACAAAGUCUAUGUAUUGGGUCGGUCCUUAUCGCAACCGUGACAUUUGGUGCAGCUUUCGCCAUGCCUGGAGGUUACAGAGCUGAUGAUCACACUAAUGGAGGCACACCAACACUCGCUGGAAGGUAUGGUUUUGACGCAUUCACUCUGGCCAACGGACUUGCGUUCACUUGCUCCACUAUGGCAACAAUUUCGCUCAUGUCUUCUGGAUCACCCGUACGACAUCCUCGGAGCCGGAUAGAGCACUUACGCAUUGCGUACUAUCUCAUGUCGGUUUCAGUUACAAGCUUGGUAGCUGCAUUUGCACUUGCUACCUAUACCAUACUAGCCCCACUUGCUCAUAAGACUGCCAUGGGGUUAUGUAUCUUGAGUUCUCUCAUAUUGGUCUAUCAAAAUUGGGAAUUGGCAAGCAAUAAUAUUGCCAUGGUAGCACCCCUCUGCAGCAGAAAAGGGAAAUUGUGGACAUUUGGAGUGUCAGCAUUAUUUAUCGUGGCCAAUGUCCUAAUUCAGUUGUGGCCCAUAAUAGUAGUAUUUUCUCUGGCCACAAUAAACUACCAUAGUCGAAAAGUGGAACCAUCGGUACACCUGCCAACACCAUUAAAUUGA